rnacentral:misc_RNA from 1 species
UGUUAACGUGAAAAAAUUGGCUGGACGACGACUGCCGCUGCUGGCGAGGUGCGCGGUCGAAGUUCUUGUAAACUGCUGUUGCCGUGCGCGUCGCCUCGACGUGUGUUGUGAUCGCGUUUCCAUAAAAAUAUAGGUAAUAAAAUUAUUUAACUUUUUCGUGUCCGCACCAGCUCUCCGAUUGCCGAUCACUAUUUCUAUUAUUAUUUUUUUUAUCGUUGCAUUUACCGUUACGUACAAAAACUAGCGCGCAAUCAUGCAGUAUUAUAAUUUUAUUAUCGUUAUUAUUUUGUGAAACCAAUUUACCUUUGAGGGUACCUACGACUCUUGGUUUCAUUUUGUUCUACAUCUGAUAAUUCUGAUAGGUACUCACUGCAUAUUCGAUUCGAGAUUGUCGUCGUCGGUCGAUNGAUAUGCGUUCAAUCGUGUGAUUCGUCGUCCUCACGAGAAUUCCCAUCGGUUUUCAGACUCGAUCUGAUACUCAGAAAAAUGGAUUUAAGCGGUCGCAUUGUUGGAGCUCAAACUAGUGGUGGAUCUAAUCAGAUUUAGAAAACUACGGGUGAUCCAACGUCAAUAGUUGUUAAUUUGACCCAUCAAGAAAUAAUGUUCUGAAGCUAAGAGGGAUCACUAGCAUUUAGUAGAUCUAGUUUGAAACAUUUGGUGAGAAUAAUUCAAUAUGCUGAUCAAGGAAUACCNUAUACCACUCCCGCUCAGUGUGGAAGAGUACAGAAUUGCUCAGCUUUAUAUGAUUGCUAAAAAAAGUAGAGAAGAGAGCAAAGGAGCUGAUAGUGGAGUUGAAAUAUUAGUUAAUGAGCCUUAUGAAGGUGGCCCUGGUGGCGACGGAAAUACUGGUGGUGGACAGUAUACAAGAAAAAUUUAUCAUGUUGGGAGCCACUUACCAGGCUGGUUUAAAGGACUAUUGCCAAAAUCAGCAUUAUCUGUUGAAGAAGAAGCAUGGAAUGCAUAUCCAUACACAAAAACUCGUUAUACUUGCCCAUUUGUAGAAAAAUUUUCAUUAGAAAUUGAAACCUACUAUUAUCCUGAUAAUGGAACUCAUGAUAAUGUUUUCAAAAUGUCUCAAAGCGAAGUUCGAAAUGUUUCUGUUGAUGUUAUAGACAUAGUGAAAGACCAAUUAUAUGGAGCGGAUUACAUUAAAGAAGAAGAUCCAAAAUCAUAUGUAAGUGAUAUAACAGGUCGAGGUCCUCUAUCAGAAAAUUGGAUAUCAGAAUACUGGAAAGAAUGUGAAAAUAAAAGUAUGCCCACAUCGUCAGGAAAAUCUAUUAUGUGUGCUUAUAAAUUGUGCAAAGUAGAAUUUCGUUAUUGGGGCAUGCAAACAAAAAUUGAAAAAUUUAUUCAUGAAGUUGCUCUGAGGAAAACUAUGGUUCGAGCACAUCGUCAAGCAUGGGCAUGGCAAGAUGAAUGGGUUAAUUUAACAAUGGAUGAUAUACGUAAGAUUGAGCGUCAAACUCAAGAAGCUCUUAAACGAAAAAUGGAUAGUAGUAGUAGCGACUCUGAGAUUUGUGAAGGAAAUAACUCUGUAGAUGAUACGAAAACUGCCACUAAUUUAGCUGCCACCAUGGGUAGUAUAGAAAAAAGUGAUCUAGAAGUAGCUACACCUGUUACGUCAAAACGAAUGCAAGAUUCAACCCUAUAUUCUCCAGCACCACUUGUUUCUAGCAGUUCUGAUACCAUAUCAAGCAGUAUUCAACAAUCAUCGAGCAUGCGAAUACCUGUGAAAAAGAAUUGGAAUAAUCCCAAAUCACAAGUACCUUCACCGGGAUCUACUCAAAGUUUUGAUACUGUGCCUAAUUGGAGAAUGGAAAGUUUGAUUCGAGAUUCAGAUUCAGAUCUUAGUAAUGACGAUGAAUUUUUUGAUUGCCAAGAUACAUUACCAACAUCAGAAAUUGUUUCUCUCUCUAAAUGGAGUUCUUUAACCAUACUAAAUGAACAAGAAUANGAUUCAUCCAGUAUUCCUGACAAAGAAGAAGAUAGUAUAUUUUCUCCUACAUAUAAAAAGUCAUCUCCUUUUAUUCAGCGUGGUCAUAGUGUUGAUACAUGUCCAGGUUCACCAACUAUAAGUAAAGAAAACAAUUGUCAAAUUAGUACACUUAUGAUGAUUAUACAUUCCGGUAGUGUACUAGAUGCUAAUUCUGAUAUAAUGGCAAAGAAAUCAGAUUUCACUACAUUUAGAGGAGCAUUUGAAUCAGUCAUGCGACAACACUACCCAAAUAUGAUUGGUCAUGUUGCAAUGAGACUUAUUCCUUGUCCAUCUAUAUGUGCUGAAGGACUUAGCGUAUUAUCAAAAUUGAGUCCUUACAGUUUUGAUGUAUCCCCAUCUGGUAUGGAAUGCACAAAUAUUACCCAUGAUUCCGUCCCAAUAGGUGCUAUUCCUAUUCUAGCAGGUUGCUCACAUGAUUAUAAAGACAUAGUAUCUAAUGUAAUCCGCAUGGCAAAUCAAGUAUAUCGAGAAUUUAUAAAGUCAGAUGAAGGAUUUGGAUUUAAUGGCAGAGUUUAUUUUAUAGGAGAUUCUAUGGGAUCUGUCAUAGGAUAUGAUGCUUUGUGUAGAAGUCCUGAUUCUCAUUCGUCACAUGAUGCAAGUAGACAUAGCACUCCAGAACAUGUGCCAAAAAAAAGUGACAAUGAUGAUUGCACUUCAUUAGGUAGUAUGGACUCUUCAUUUAAGGUUUUAGUUACUCCACCAGUUAGAAGAAGAUCAUCAUCAACAAGUGAUAGUAAUGUAUGUUUGGACUUUGAAGUUAACGAAAUGUUUAUGUUUGCAUCACCGUUGUCACUUGUAUUAGCAUUUAGAAAAAUUUCAGCUCAUAAAUAUGAUAAAUCAACUUCAAUUCAACGUCCAGCAUUGCAGCAAGUUUACAAUUUAUUUCAUCCAUCUGAUCCUAUUGCAUCUAGAUUAGAACCAUUAAUUUCUGCAAAAUUUUCGAUUCUGCCACCUGUUAAUAUCCCACGAUAUCAAAAAUAUCCUCUUGGAACAGGACAGCCAUACUAUUUAUUAGAAACAGUGCAAACUAAUCCUCAAUUGUUUACUGAACACAACCAUGCCAGGCGUACGUCUGAAGUUAGUAUUNUAAGUACAGUUUCUGGGAUAGGUGAUACACUUCCAAUUCAAGCGAUAAACAAAUUGACAAAAAAAUGGUGGGGUUCCAAAAGAUUGGACUAUGCUUUGUAUUGUCCCGAUGGAUUGUCGAAUUUCCCUACAAAUGCUUUGCCUCAUAUAUUUCAUGCUAGCUAUUGGGAAUCAUCAGAUGUCAUUGCAUUUAUUUUAAGACAAUUUGCUAUAUUUGACUAUAAUAGUUCAAUUGGGAAUGAAGAAAAAGAACUGGCUACUUUUAGCCCCAGUCAACCUAGAGAAAAAUGGCAGCGUAAAACGACUUUCAUUAAAAUUAAAAAUUCAACUGCAAGUCAUCGAGCAAAUGAUGUGAUAAUUCAAGAAGGUUUGCCACAGAUAAUUAGUGCUCGUUUUAUUUAUGGACCAUUUGAUAUGUUUUCAUUGGCUGGGGAAAAAGUUGAUAUCCAUAUAAUUAAGGAACCUGGUAAUGGUGAAUGGACACAUUUAGCUACAGAAGAUUCAGAUAAAAAUGGAAGAGUUACCUAUACAAUACCUGAAAAUAAAUCUCUUGGAUUUGGAAUAUAUCCUGUUAAAAUGGUUGUUAGAGGAGAUCAUACAAGUGUUGAUUUUCUGUUAGCUAUUGUUCCACCUCAAACUGAAAUUGUUGUAUUUAGCAUAGAUGGAUCAUUUUCUGCUAGUGUCUCUGUUACUGGACGUGACCCAAAAGUUCGACCAGGUGCUGUUGACAUAGUAAGGCACUGGCAAGAAUUGGGCUAUUUAAUAGUCUAUAUUACUGGAAGACCAGAUAUGCAACAACAACGCGUUCUGUCAUGGUUAAGUCAACAUAACUUUCCCCAUGGACUAGUUUCGUUUGCCGACGGUCUUUCUACAGACUUCCUUGCUCAUAAAAUCACAUAUCUCAAAAGCCUUGUACAAGAUCAUAAAAUGAUAAUACAUGCGGCCUAUGGAAGUAGUAAAGAUAUUUCUGUCUACAGUGCAUUAGAUCUGAAACCAAAACAAAUAUUUAUUAUUGGCAAAGUGGGUCGUAAACAUCACUCAAUGGCAACAGUGUUGAGCGAUGGUUAUGCUGCACAUUUAUCAGCAUUACAGUGUCAUGGAGGAUCUAGGCCAGCUCAAGGAAAUGCUCGGAUGCUUUUGACUUCAAGAGGACGCUUNGGACAUAACGCUUCUAUGAGACGUAGAAGGUGUCCCGAGAAGAGAUCUGGCGAUACACAUGGUUCCAAUAAUUGAUCCAUACUUGACCGCAUAUUAUGGUGCAAGUAAAUGCCAGGUAAAAAAUAUGAGAAUGUGCUUUGUGUGGAACAAAAAACACUUCGUUUCUGAUCUGCUAAGCGGACAACAUCGUUUCCAAUUUGUUCGAUGACUAGAUCCACAAGCCGUAAUAGAUAUGAUAACCUUUGAUGUUGUUCUUG